UGGGGCAAGACUUUCCAUUGAUAGCGCUCU
rnacentral:piRNA from 1 species